ACUGCUCAGUAACACGUGGAUAACAUGCCCUAAGGUGGGGGAUAAUCUCGGGAAACUGAGGAUAAUACCCCAUAGGUCUGAUCUGCUGGAAUGCUUUCAGGCCGAAAACUCCGGUGCCUUAGGAUUGGUCUGCGGUCUAUCAGGCAGUAGUGGGUGUAACGGACCCACUAGCCCGUGACGGAUAUGGGCCUUGAGAGAGGGAGCCCAGAGAUGGACUCUGAGACAUGAGUCCAGGCCCUACGGGGCGCAGCAGUCGCGAAAACUUCGCAAUGGGGGCAACCCCGACGAGGGAAUUCCAAGUGCCAGCACUUUGUGUUGGCUGUUCUCCUGUCUAAAAAACAGGAGGAGUAAGGGGCGGGUAAGACGGGUGCCAGCCGCCGCGGUAAUACCCGCGCCCCUAGUGGUGGUCGAUAUUAUUGAGCCUAAAACGUCCGUAGCCGGUCUUUUAAAUCCUUGGGUAAAUCGGGCAGCUUAACUGUCCGAAUUCCGGGGAGACUGGAAGACUUGGGACCGGGAGAGGUCAGAGGUACUUCUGGGGUAGGGGUAAAAUCCUGUAAUCCUGGAAGGACCACCGGUGGCGAAGGCGUCUGACUAGAACGGAUCCGACGGUGAGGGACGAAGCCCUGGGGCGCAAACGGGAUUAGAUACCCCGGUAGUCCAGGGUGUAAACGCUGCGGGCUUGGUGUUGGGGGUCCUUAGUGGGCGCCCAGUGCCGGAGAGAAGUUGUUAAGCCUGCUGCUUGGGGAGUAUGUCCGCAAGGAUGAAACUUAAAGGAAUUGGCGGGGGAGCAC
rnacentral:rRNA from 1 species